AUUGCCAAGGAACAGGAGAAGGAGGCAAGUAGAUCCUUACUCUUUGGAGGAGGAGAGGCAGGAGAACACCAGCCCACCAGAAAAUGGCUGAAAGAACAGCCCUGGGUAAGUUUAGAAAGUGUGAAGAGUAUUGCAAGAGUACUGCGGGCUCUCUGAUGAAGAAAUCUGCACUGGAGUGGAGUGGAAAUUUGUAUGGAGCAGUCUCGCUAGCGUGUGCGAAAUAGAGCCUGCAGCCAUGCACAAAAUAAAGAUUAAAAAGCAUUAAAUUACUCCCAGUGCACCAAAGGAGGCAUGGUUCCAAUUGAGAAGUUGCAGUAAUCCCACACCAAAUGGAUUACGUGGUCGUAAACUCUUAAGUGCGUAUGUACGACCACUUGAAUUACAGCACGCUCGAAGCUUCUUUUUCUUUCCCUUCAACUUUUGCACGCCAGAUUCUGUCACAUUAAAAUGCAUAAUUUAAACCAGAAGUCAGCCACUCAGCCAUCUCUUCAGUGCCAGAGCACCUGCGCACUUACUUCUGCAGAGCUAGUUAGGAUCUGGCUGUAUUGCGGAACGCAGGCUGGCCUUGCAGCCUCCGCAGCUGAGCUCCUCAGCUUUUGCUAGAGCUUGGCAUCCUCUGAGUAUUCCUGCUCAGGCUUGGCACUGUGCCACUCCCCAAGUGACUGGCUGGGAAGUAUGUAUCUGGGAGGAAGGGUUGCCUUCCCACAGCGAAGUUUUUAAGUGGAACCUCUGGGGUGUUUCCAGCAUGCAGCAGCGCUUGCUGAGCAGCCCUCCCGUGGGAAUAUGUUGAAAUGCAGUUACAGACGUGAGGAUGAUCACGAGAGGGGGAAAAAAAAGUGCUGCCUUAUUCAACAGAUUUGUUGCAGAUGUGACUUCAGAACAAGUUCUUACCAUCCCUGGUUCUGCUACAGCAGAGCGCAACCAACCUGAGCCCACCCAGCAGUGCUGUGUCAGGAACAGAUUGGGAUCUGAUGGCACAACAGCUGGGCUUUCUCCUCUUUGCCUUCGCUCUUCUGUGCGUGUGCGCGAGUGCGUGUUGCAUCUGCGCUAAGUGUAUAGGGAAGUUAUCCUGAAGAGUAACGUCACUACCAGCAGAAAUCCUUCCUUGCGCUUCAAAAUGCUGACACAGUUGAAAGGAGCGGGGAGUGGCACAGUAAGCACAGUAAGAAGAUACUACAGGAAAAACCUAGAUGAACUCGUUUUUAGAUUUUCCAGCAAAAUGACAACUAUGCCUUGAGGUGAAAUAAUAAUAAUAAUAAAAAAAUCAG
ensembl:lncRNA